AUUGAACGCUGGCGGCAGGCCUAACACAUGCAAGUCGAGCGGAGCGGCGGACGGGUGAGUAAUGCCUAGGAAUCUGCCUGGUAGUGGGGGAUAACGUCCGGAAACGGGCGCUAAUACCGCAUACUAUCAGAUGAGUCUAGGUCGGAUUAGCUAGUUGGUGGGGUAAAGGCCUACCAAGGCGACGAUCCGUAACUGGUCUGAGAGGAUGAUCAGUCAAACUGGAACUGAGAAACGGUACAGAAUCCUACGGGAGGAAGCAGGUGGGAAUAUUGGACAAUGGGCGAAAGCCUGAUCCAGCCAUGCCGAGUGUGUGAAGAAGGUCUUCGGAUUGUAAAGUAUUUUCAGUUGGGAGGCGUUACCAACAGAAGAAGCACCGGCUAACUUCGUGCCAGCAGCCGCGGUAAUAC
rnacentral:rRNA from 1 species